rnacentral:rRNA from 1 species
UACGGAAUGUGCAAACGUUAUUCGGAAUCACUGGGCUUAAAGAGUCCGUAGGCGGCUUGUUAGGUGAGGUGUGAAAUCCCUCGGCCCAACCGAGGAAUUGCGCUUCAAACCGGCAAGCUAGAGGAGGAUAGAGGUGGGCGGAACUGAUGGUGGAGCGGUGAAAUGCGUUGAUAUCAUCAGGAACACCGGAGGCGAAGGCGAGGUGCUGGGUCCUUUCUGACGCUGAUGCGCGAAAGCCAGGGGAGCAAACGGG